rnacentral:rRNA from 1 species
CCUUCGGGAUGAUUUGUUGGACGCUAGCGGCGGAUGGGUGAGUAACACGUGGGCAAUCUGCCCUAAAGACUGGGAUACCACUUGGAAACAGGUGCUAAUACCGGAUAACAACAUGAAUCGCAUGAUUCAAGUUUGAAAGGCGGCGCAAGCUGUCACUUUAGGAUGAGCCCGCGGCGCAUUAGCUAGUUGGUGGGGUAAAGGCCUACCAAGGCAAUGAUGCGUAGCCGAGUUGAGAGACUGAUCGGCCACAUUGGGACUGAGACACGGCCCAAACUCCUACGGGAGGCAGCAGUAGGGAAUCUUCCACAAUGGACGCAAGUCUGAUGGAGCAACGCCGCGUGAGUGAAGAAGGUUUUCGGAUCGUAAAGCUCUGUUGUUGGUGAAGAAGGAUAGAGGCAGUAACUGGUCUUUAUUUGACGGUAAUCAACCAGAAAGUCACGGCUAACUACGUGCCAGCAGCCGCGGUAAUACGUAGGUGGCAAGCGUUGUCCGGAUUUAUUGGGCGUAAAGCGAGCGCAGGCGGAAUGAUAAGUCUGAUGUGAAAGCCCACGGCUCAACCGUGGAACUGCAUCGGAAACUGUCAUUCUUGAGUGCAGAAGAGGAGAGUGGAAUUCCAUGUGUAGCGGUGGAAUGCGUAGAUAUAUGGAAGAACACCAGUGGCGAAGGCGGCUCUCUGGUCUGCAACUGACGCUGAGGCUCGAAAGCAUGGG